GCAACAGGAGAACAUACUGAACCUAUAGAUUAGGACGAAGUGCACCUUGUUUGCAUGGUCUACCGACAGACUGCAAAGCAACAUCGAGUGGGAAGAGAGAUGUGCAUUUUAAUAAUGGGAGACAGGGUAAUAGACGAAUGAUGUGAAGACAUAUGUAUAGAUGAGGAUGGCAUACAUCAAGUUUUGUUUGGUGGCUUGGGCGACAAAGAUGACUGGUUCUCACCAGUAAUGCGCUUAUCUGGUGAUUUCACCCGCAUCGACUUCACUUCUUUAGAGGCAUCAUGUCUUGUGGAACACAGGUUAUCAUCACCAGGCCAAAAUAGAAACAAGGAAAUCAGGGCUGGAAGGUAAGGUUAGUUGAGACUUGAGAGUUUAAUUAAGAGACAGAUAAGGGAUAAGAGAUAGGAUUAGUUGAGAGAAGGUAGAAGAUGUGAUUAGUUCCUAGCCUAAGAGGUCUAUUGAGGCCCCGUUGGCAGGGCUUUGGCUUCUCUAAAAACGGCUCCGCCUCUGGCUCCUUAGCUUCUCUGGAGGAGUCAGAGCCAUUCUGUAAUUUGUUUAGCAAAACAACUUUUCCUGUGUUUUUU
rnacentral:lncRNA from 7 species